rnacentral:misc_RNA from 1 species
AUUUCUUUAUGUUUUCACUGUAUGUGGUGUCAACUUAAACUCCUGAAUCACUAUUUGCACCUUAAAAACUCUUGACAUAUUUGUUUAUGCCAAAAUGUUAAAGGUGAAGUUUGCCCAGUCAUUAGGACCAAUAAGCAUUCCAAUUAGAGUAUACUCAAAUCCCUUAUUAGAAAUGCGUGAAUAUCCAAGUCUUGUUUGUCUGGUGAAACAUCCAAAUGCAACUUAUGAGUUUCUAGUGAGAACCUUGAAGCUCUUCAUUUAUGGAACAUCAUGGAGUGGACAUGCUCAUUACUUUGCAGGAAAAUACUACAAUAUGGUUCAUCAGAUUGUUCACUAUUGUAGGAAUAUCUGUCAGAGAACUUAUUUAUGUUGGUUUCUCUCACCCAUGCUAUUUGCAUUAAUAGUUUUAUCAUUGGAUGAAGCAGAUGCAUUAACUAGGUACUUGGUACGGGGAAUUUUGUGUUUUUCUUAUGAUGAUUCCACUUUUGGUAAAAAUUUUUCAUGUGAGCACUUCAAUUUGUUCUAAAUUUUUGCGCUAAUUUUGUAGUUUACUUGCUGCAAUUCAUAAUGAUUUUUUUUUUGACAUUGCAAUUAUAACAUCCAUAUGUCUAAAAUAAUAAACAUAAUUUAUUUAAAACUCCAAUUGUCAUAAGUUUCAUAAGAAAUAUGUUUGAGAUAUAUUUUUCUUUUUAAAAUUUUCUUUUUUAUGUUUUUGGCUGGAAUAGGUAGCACAGCUUAGAAUGAUUCCCCGUGUUCUUAUUGGCCACAGCUUUGGGGGAAAAGUUGUCUUGAGCAUGGUGGAACAAGCUGCAAAGCCUCUUGCGCGGCCAGUUAAAGUUUGGGUUCUAGAUGCUACUCCUGGAAAAGUUCGAGCUGGUGGAGAUGGAGAGGACCAUCCAGCAGAGUUGAUAUCUUUCCUUAGCAAGCUGCCAAAGGAGGUCUCCUCAAAGCGAGAAGUUGUGAACGCUCUUCUUCAGGGGGGAUUUUCUAAGGAUGUUGCACAGUGGGUCGUAACUAAUCUUCAAUCAAAUGGUCAUUCGGGUUCAUCAUUGGGCUUCUCAUGGGUAUUUGACCUUGAAGGGAUUGCUGAAAUGUACCAAUCUUAUGAAGAAACAAAUUUAUGGAAAUUUGUUGAAAAUUUGCCUCAAGGUGUUCAUGUCAAUUUCCUAAAGGCAGAGAGGAGUUUGCACAGGUGGGCCCUUGAAGAUCUGCAGCGAAUUCAUGCUGCUGAGGAUCUGGCUGCUGAGGAGGGAGGUGGAGUUGAAAUGCAUGUCCUUGAAGAUGCUGGCCAUUGGGUACAUGCUGAUAACCCAGAUGGGCUUUUCAGGAUUCUUUCAUCUUCUUUCCAGGGGUUCAAAACCUGAAGGUGUUGCAUUGAAUCACUGCUUAUACUUGUUUGGAUACAACAGCUAUAAAUUACAAAAUUUGUUUGUGUAAUCAUUUUUGUCUAAACACAAAUUAUCAAGUGAUUCCACACAUUUCUGUGCCAUAGAGGUCGAGCAUAAUUUUAGUUUCUUGCAAAUUGUCACGCUGGGGUAUGCUUGUGCUAGUAGUAAUCCUGGUAACAAGCUUGUAAACAAUCGAGUCUUGUUGAGUUUUGACACCUUUAGGAUUGAUAAAUUUUUUAAUUGACCAACUCCAGCUUUGCUCGGUUUUAUUAACUUAGCUUAGAAACAACAAAAUAUGCUAACUGUUAUAGAUGUUAUGUAUUUGCAUUUGAUUAUUUAAUUAACAAAUUAUUGCAAAUUCUCCUA